rnacentral:rRNA from 1 species
AGAGUUUGAUCAUGGCUCAGAUUGAACGCUGGCGGCAUGCCUUACACAUGCAAGUCGAACGGUAACGGGCCUUCGGGUGCCGACGAGUGGCGAACGGGUGAGUAAUGCAUCGGAACGUACCUUUCAGUGGGGAUAACGUAGCGAAAGUUACGCUAAUACCGCAUAUUCUGUGAGCAGGAAAGCAGGGGAUCGCAAAGACCUUGUGCUGAUUGAGCGGCCGAUGUCAGAUUAGCUAGUUGGUGAGGUAAAGGCUCACCAAGGCGACGAUCUGUAGCGGGUCUGAGAGGAUGAUCCGCCACACUGGAACUGAGACACGGUCCAGACUCCUACGGGAGGCAGCAGUGGGGAAUUUUGGACAAUGGGGGCAACCCUGAUCCAGCCAUGCCGCGUGAGUGAAGAAGGCCUUCGGGUUGUAAAGCUCUUUCGGCCGGGAAGAAAUCGCAUGGGUUAAUACCCUGUGCGGAUGACGGUACCGGCAUAAGAAGCACCGGCUAACUACGUG